GGAGUUGUAGCUCAGUGGUAGAGUGCUUGCCUCGAUGCAUGAGGUACUAGUUUCGAUACCUCGCACCA
rnacentral:tRNA from 1 species